GAAAGGUAAGCUAAAUAAAGCUAAUGGGUUCAUACCCCAUAAAUAGAGUUAAACACUCUCCAUUCCA
rnacentral:tRNA from 2 species